CUCAAGAACGCUUAUGCCUAGGAUCAUGAAACUUCAUAGGUAAAUUGAUCAUGACUCGCAGAUGACCCCUAUUGAUUUUCAGGUCACUAGGUCAAAGGUCAAGGUCACGGUGACCCGAAUAGUAAAAUGGUUUCCGGAUGAUAACUCAAGAACGCUUAUGCCUAGGAUCAUGAAACUUCAUAAGGACAAUGAAUAUGACUCGCAGAUGACCCCUAUUGAUUUUCAGGUCACUAGGUCAAAGGUCAAGGUCACAGUGACUCGAAAUAGAAAAAUGGUUUCCCGAUGAUAACUCAAGAACGCAUACGCCUAGGAUCAUGAAACUUAAUAGGUACAUUGAUCAUGACUCGCAGAUGACCUCUAUUGAUUUUCAGGUCACUAGGUCAAAGGUCAAGGUCACAGUGACUAGACACAGAAAAAUGGUUUCCGGAUUAUAACUCAAGAACGCUUACGCCUAGGAUCAUGAAACUUCAUAGGUACAUUGAUUAUGACUGGCAAAUGACCCCUAUCGAUGUUCAGGUCACUAGGUCAAAUGUCAAGGUCACGGUGACUCGACACAGUAAAAUGGUUUCCGGAUGAUUACUCAAGAAAGCUUAUGCCUAGGAUCAUCAAACUGCAUAGGUACAUUGAUCAUGACUGGCAGGUGACACCUAUCAAUUCUCAGGUCACUAGGUCAAAGGUCAAGGUCACAGUGACUCUAAACAGUAAAAUGGUUUCCUGAUGAUAACUCAAGAAUAAUUAGGCCUAGGAUCAUGAAACUUCAUAGGUACAUUGAUCAUGACUGGCAGAUUUUCAAGUCACUAGGUCAAAGGUCGAGUUCACAGUGACAAAAAGCGUAUUCACACAAUGGCUGCCACUACAACUGACAGCCCAUAUGGGGGGCAUGCAUGUUUUACAAACAGCCCUUGUUUAAUCUCAAACUUUUAUACUUAGGAAAUUAAAAGUUAGACAUACUGUUUCAUCUCUGCUGAUGAUGCUUACUAUUAUUAUGCCCCCAUUUGAAGAAGAGGGGGUAUAUUGUUUUGCACAUGUCGGUCGGUCCGUCAGUCGGUCCGUCCACCAGAUGGUUUCCGGAUGAUAACUCAAGAACGCUUAGGCCUAGGAUCAUGAAACUUCAUAGGUACAUUGAUCAUGACUGGCAGAUGACCCCUAUUGAUUUUCAGGUCACUUGGUCAAAGGUCAAGGUCACAAUGACUCGAAAUAGUAAAAUGGUUUCCAGAUGAUAACUCAAGAAUGCUUAGGCCUAGGAUCAUGAAACUUCAUAGGUACAUUGAUCAUGACUCACAGAUGACCCCUAUUGAUUUUCAGGUCACUAGGUGAAAGGUCAAGGUCACAAUGACUCGAAAUAGUAAAAUGGUUUCCGGAUGAUAACUCAAGAAUGCUUAGGCCUAGGAUCAUGAAACUUCAAAGGUACAUUGAUCAUGACUGGCAGAUGAUCCCUAUUAAUUUAGGUCACUAGGUCAAAGGUCAAGGUCACAGUGACCCGAAACAGCAUAAUGAUUUCCUGAUGAUAACUCAAGAAUAAUUAGGCCUAGGAUCAUGAAACUUCAUAGGUACAUUGAUCAUGACUGGCAGAUGAACCCUUUUGAUUUUCAGGUCACUAGGUUAAAGGUCAAUGUCACAGUGACAAAAACGUAUUCACACAAUGGCUGCCACUACAACUGACAGCCCAUAUGGGGGGCAUACAUGUUUUACAAACAGCCCUUGUUCUUCUUUAAAAUACUUUUUAUUUUGUAUUCAUAUUUCCAUAAUAUUGUUUAAUGAGAAAGGUCCCCGAAGGACUAACUACAUUUGAAAUAUAUUGCAGUUGUUGUCUUCCAUUAUUUAGACCUCACAGUAUGUAUUAUUUCCAGUGUCUAUUCUAGGCUUCGGAUUCGCGGGAUUUUAAGCACAACAUGCUCAUGGUGAGCUUUUGCGAUUGCUGUUUGUCCAUCUAGCGUCGUGCCUCAUCAACAUUUAUCUUGUUAAAACUCUAGAGGCCACAUUUAUUGUACAAACAGUUUGAAAAUGAUACUGGUUCGUUAAAAACACAUGGGGGCUAUAGAAAAACCAUGUUAACGCUCUAGAAGUACAAUUUAUUGUCAGAUCUUCAAGAAACUUCAGCAGAACUUUAGUUCUAAUCAUAUCUUAGAUAAGUUAGAUAAGUUAGAAAAUGGUCCUGCUCUGUUGAAAACAGGGCCGCCACUGGGUAGGGCGUUUGUCCUUAUAUGGCUGUAGUAAAACCUUGUAAACCUUUAAGAAGCCACUUUUAUGUCCAAUUUUUUUUAAACAUGGUCAGAACACAUGUCCCCUUGCUAUCUUGGACAAGUUGGAAAAUGGCUGGCUAUGCCACUCAUGAAUGUUCAUGGCAGAAAAUUGCAGACAAUUAAGUUUUUAAUAUCGUAUCAUAGUAUAUAGUUCCAUGAUAGACAUGCAGAUCAGUAAAUAUUUUUUUUAUUAUUAAUUUAAAUGAUACCAUAAUAUCUUGUGAAAACUUUUUUUAGUCAUGUCAGUGCAAUAUUAUUGAAAGUGAUGUGAUAUUUAACAGAAGUAACCACAAUUUUUUCACUGAACUGAUGGUAUAUAAUUUUAUUUAAAAUGCUCAGAUAAAAACAUUUAAUAUACAAACUAAAAUGUGUUGCUGCAACCUGUUUCUGAAAAAUCCCUCAAAUUUUAAAGGUGUUGGGGGGAGGGGGGGGGGGUAGGAUUUGCUUCUGUUGCGAUAUUUUAGUUUUCUAUAAUAGAAUCAUAGCCAGCACGUCGUCCGCCGUCCGCGUCGUGCUAAAACCUUUACAUUUCGUUAAGGUUAUGAACAUUGGCUCUAAAAUCAAAUUGCUUCAACCUACAACUUUGAAACUUCAUAUGUAGAUGCACCUUGAUGAGUUCUACACGCCACACCCAUUUUUGGGUCACUAGGUUAAAGGUCAAGGUCACUGUGACCUUUAAAAAAAUUUCUUCUCACAAGCUUUCAUUUAUUCAAAACAGCACCCGUAGCCGAGUGUGGCACCUGUUAUGCGGUGCUCUUGUUUAUAUCUGUCUUUGCUAUCGUGUACCGAUCACUUUCUUCUUCUUGGUAUCACUUAAAUUGUACCACAGAGUUAUAAGAAUGCACAUCAUGCAAACAUGUUCAUGAAAGUUAACAUUGAAAAUAAAUGCCAUGAUCAUUUCAGUUCCAUCCUGUUAGUUGCAUGCAUUGGUUUUUAUGUUGCAAAAUUUGAUCAUUUGUCUGCUGCCUACCGGACUUUGUUCAAUUUAGCUUGCUACUUCCUAGACUGAAGGUUCAUAUACAUGUAGUUUGUUUUAUUUAAAGGUAAAACUUUUGUAAAAUAUGACCUUGAUGCGCAUUAUGAUAAAAAAAAUUCAGAAGUAAAAAUCGAGGGUUGAGCAUGAAAGUUGUGUACCGGGUAAAGGUACUUACUAUAUGAGAUAAAGCAGUUUUUUGCCAAACCUUGGAAACGCCUGUCAUGGUACUGUUAUAAUUGUUUGUUCAUUCUCAUCUGUUCUUACCUUAUUGUGUCAAUGUGACGGUAAUCAUGCAUAUAACCCUGUGAGGUAAAUCAUGCAAAGUAGCAGUAGGGUCUUAUUAAAUGUGGAUGUUAAAAGGUAUGAUUUUGAAGAACAAAAUAAAAUUGUUGCAAAUCA